ensembl:lncRNA
UAAGGCGUAGGAGCCUCGGGGAGGGUGAGCCAAGAGGGACGUGGCGCUCUGCGGCGCGGACUAGGAAGCCGCGCCCCUUCCUUCUCGGGCUUUCAUGGAGAAUCCUGUGGAGCAGGAUUUGGGGUCCCACAGGAUAUAACCUGGCCAAGUUCCUCAUUGCAUUUAGAAUGGAAGAGAGGGAGGCAGUAAUACUUAUAAGAAACAGCCCAAAGACUCCUUCAUUCCAGACCCUGAAAUCAUGAAAAAUGGGGGAAAGGGCACUGUAUCUCUCUGGCUACUACCUGCUCAAUAGGGGUGACGAUUUUGUGUCUGGAACAGAGGAUUGUCCUAGGGCCCAGGGUCUCCUUUUCCUGAGCUUGGGAUGAGGCUCUUGAGAAGAAGAAUGGUCUUGACCUGGUCUCAAGAGAUGGCCUGAGUCAGUUCUUGGAGAAAUCUUUGAAACAGAUUGAAGAGACAGGGUCCAAAUAAGAGGAAUAAAAUGAUAAGUACCAAUGGUCCCAGGAAAGGGAGCAACCAAGGGAGGGCCUGUUGGAAC